AUUGAACGCUGGCGGCAGGCCUAACACAUGCAAGUCGAGCGGGGUUUUCGGACCUAGCGGCGGACGGGUGAGUAAUGCGUAGGAAGCUGCCCGAUAGAGGGGGAUACCAGUUGGAAACGACUGUUAAUACCGCAUAAUGUCUACGGACCAAAGUGUGGGACCUUCGGGCCACAUGCUAUCGGAUGCGCCUACGUGGGAUUAGCUAGUUGGUGAGGUAAUGGCUCACCAAGGCGACGAUCUCUAGCUGGUUUGAGAGGAUUAUCAGCCACACUGGAACUGAGACACGGUCCAGACGCCUACGGGAGGCAGCAGUGGGGAAUAUUGGACAAUGGGCGCAAGCCUGAUCCAGCCAUGCCGCGUGUGUGAAGAAGGCCUUCGGGUUGUAAAGCACUUUCAGCGAGGAGGAAGGGGUGUGUGUUAAUAGUACACACCUUUGACGUUACUCGCAGAAGAAGCACCGGCUAACUCUGUGCCAGCCGCCGCCGUAAAAC
rnacentral:rRNA from 1 species